UGCCAAAUAUUUGCUAAUAGAUGUCGC
rnacentral:sRNA from 1 species